AAAAUUUUAAGUUAACAAAACUAAUAGCCUUCAAAGUUAUAAAUAAAAGUUUUUAACCUUUUAAAUUUUA
rnacentral:tRNA from 1 species